rnacentral:misc_RNA from 1 species
UUUCCGUAGGUGAACCUGCGGAAGGAUCAUUAGUGAAUUUUAGGGUGCUUUCCGGAGUCUUCUUUAACUGGAGACUGUUUGGAAAGGCCUGACCUCCACUAUCUACCCUGUGCAUCUAUUUUGACCCUGUUCCUAGAGACCUGUCAAAGGGACUCUUAAGGACUUGGUCUCCUUUUUCUUAAACUCUAGUCUAAGAAUGUAAACAAAUAAUAACAAAAAAAAACUUUCAACAACGGAUCUCUUGGCUCUCGCAUCGAUGAAGAACGCAGC